rnacentral:snRNA from 1 species
GGAUGUGAGGGUAACCUGGCUGUGACAUCUGCCACCACACUGAUCACCAGUGUUGAUUUGGCUGAUCUGACUGGCUGGGCAGUGUCCCCUGUCUGUCUCAGCAAUCAUGUGUGUUCCUCUCAAAGCUGUGCACUUGGUUGAAGAGGAUGAGCCCCCCAAGAGAGGAGAAUAAUUCCUUGGUUAUAUAAGUAGCGGAACUCCCCUGCUAGAACCUCCAAACAAGCUCUCAAACAAAAUACCAAGAGACUGCCUUAAAUUACAGAUUAAUUGCAACUGGCAAUUCAUUUU